GAGUUUGAUCCUGGCUCAGGACGAACGCUGGCGGCGUGCCUAAUACAUGCAAGUCGAACGCACGAAGUUGAAGAGCUUGCUCUUUGACCAAGUAAGUGGCGGACGGGUGAGUAACACGUGGGUAACCUGCCCAUUAGAGGGGGAUAACAUUCGGAAACGGAUGCUAAUACCGCAUAGUUUCAGGAAUCGCAUGAUUCUUGAAGGAAAGGUGGCUUCGGCUACCACUAAUGGAUGGACCCGCGGCGUAUUAGCUAGUUGGUGAGGUAAUGGCUCACCAAGGCAAUGAUACGUAGCCGACCUGAGAGGGUGACCGGCCACACUGGGACUGAGACACGGCCCAGACUCCUACGGGAGGCAGCAGUAGGGAAUCUUCCGCAAUGGACGAAAGUCUGACGGAGCAACGCCGCGUGAGUGAAGAAGGUUUUCGGAUCGUAAAACUCUGUUGUUAAAGAAGAACAAGGAUGAGAGUAACUGCUCAUCCCCUGACGGUAUUUAACCAGAAAGCCACGGCUAACUACGUGCCAGCAGCCGCGGUAAUACGUAGGUGGCAAGUGUUGUCCGGAUUUAUUGGGCGUAAAGCGAGCGCAGGCGGUUCUUUAAGUCCGAUGUGAAAGCCCCCGGCUCAACCGGGGAGGGUCAUUGGAAACUGGAGAACUUGAGUGCAGAAGAGGAGAGUGGAAUUCCACGUGUAGCGGUGAAAUGCGUAGAUAUGUGGAGGAACACCAGUGGCGAAGGCGACUCUCUGGUCUGUAACUGACGCUGAGGCUCGAAAGCGUGGGGAGCAAACAGGAUUAGAUAC
rnacentral:rRNA from 1 species